UACGUAGGGGGCAAGCGUUGUCCGGAUUUAUUGGGCGUAAAGAGCGUGUAGGCGGCCAGACAGGUCUGCUGUGAAAACUCGAGGCUCAACCUCGAGACGCCGGUGGAAACCGUUUGGCUAGAGUCCGGAGGAGGAGAGUGGAAUUCCUGGUGUAGCGGUGAAAUGCGCAGAUAUCAGGAAGAACACCCGUGGCUAAGGCGGCUCUCUAGUACGGUACUGACGCUGAGACGCGAAAGCGUGGGGAGCGAACAGG
rnacentral:rRNA from 1 species